AAACUAGGGAUUAGAUACCCUAUUAGUUACAUUUAAAAUUUAGUAGUAAGUGUUGAACAUGAAACUAAAAUUAAUUGGCGGCUUUUUAAAUAUUUUAGAGGAAUUUAUUCUAUAAAGGAUUUAACACCAAAAUCUUACUUUUAUUUGUAUUAAAACAGUUUACAUACCUCUAUUUUAAAAUAUUUAAAUAUAUUUUAUUAAUACUAUUAUUUUAGUAAUUUUUUAGGUAAAGGUGUAGCUUAUAUAAAAGAAUGAAAUAAAUUAUAAUAAUUUUUAUUAUUUUAACGAGAUUUAAAUGUAAAUAAUAAUUUAGUAAAAUUUAAAAGUAAAAUUAGUAUAUUUAGCCAAUUUGAAUUAGAUUUUAUAAGUGUACAUAUUGCCCC
rnacentral:rRNA from 1 species